rnacentral:rRNA from 1 species
UGGUGGAGUGAUUUGUCUGGUUAAUUCCGUUAACGAACGAGACCUCCGCGUGCUAAAUAGUUCCGAUUGCUCAUCGAGCAGUUUUGGAACUUCUUAGAGGGACUUUUGGCGAUUAGCCAAAGGAAGUUGGAGGCAAUAACA